rnacentral:rRNA from 1 species
ACUCAAAGGAAUUGACGGGGACCCGCACAAGCGGUGGAACAUGUGGUUUAAUUCGUCAACAAGCGAAGAACCUUACCAGGGUUUGACAUCUAGGGAAUCCGCUGGAAACAGUGGAGUGCCGUAAGGAGCCCUAAGACAGGUAUUGCACGGUCGUCGUCAGCUCGUGCUGUGAAGUGUCCCGUUAAGUCGGUAAACGAGCGCAACCCCUAUCGUAUGUUGCAUUUUCAUACGAGACUGCCGGUGUUAAAUCGGAGGAAGGUGGGGAUGACGUCAGAUCAGCGUGGUCCUUACACCCUGGGCGACACACGUGUUACAAUGGGUAGAACAGAGGGUUGCAAAGCCGCGAGGUGAAGCUAAUCCCAUCAAAUCUACCCUCAGUUCGGAUUGGAGUCUGCAACUCGACUCCAUGAAGUCGGAAUCGCUAGUAAUCGUGGGUCAGCCACACCACGGUGAAUACGUUCUCGGGUCUUGUACACACCGCCCGU